UUUGUAUUUUUUAAAUUGAAAACAAAACUCACAUCAAAUUUUUACAUCAAUCGGCAAUGUUUUGACAUGGCUCCGAUGUGCCUUUGUUAUUGUUUAUGUGUAAAUGAAAGUUCUAAACUGUUCUAAAAAACUCACAGUCUCCUGACAGCCUCUUGACAGUCUUUUUGGAUAUUUGAAAAUAUUUAAAAGAAAGUCGUACAAAAUUGAAAAUGCUUUUU